AUGUGCCACCCAUACGAUCCGAUGCUGAACGCGCCGUCCGCACCAGCUGACGACUGCUCGCUACAUUUUGUUAGCC
rnacentral:sRNA from 2 species